GCCAGGCACGGUGGUGCAUGCCUGUAGUCCCAGCUACUCAGGAGGCUGAGGUGGGAGGAUCGCUUGAGCCCACGAGUUCUGGGCUGUAGUGCGCUAUGCCUUUCGGGUGUCUGCACUAAGUUCGGCAUCAAUAUGGUGACCUCCCGGGAGCAGGGGACCACCAGGUUACCUAAGGAGGGGUGAACCGGCCCAGGUCAGAAAGGGAGCAGGUCAAAACUACCGUUCUGAUCAGUAGUGGGAUUGGGCCUGUGAAUAGCCACUGCACUCCAGCCUGGGCAACAUAGAUAGACCCUGUCUCUU
ensembl:misc_RNA Metazoa_SRP Metazoan signal recognition particle RNA